AGCCGGCUGUGGGGCUCGAACUCAUGAACCAUGAGAUCAUGACCUGAGCCGAAAUCUAGAGUUGGGCACUUAACUAACUGAGCCACCCGGGUGCCCCGAACUCUGGGAAUUCUAAAAUGAGUGAGACCUGGAACAAAUACUUGUUUGCAGGAGUAAGAUGGACCGGGCAUACAGGGGAGCAAGAGUGGUCCUGCUUGGAGAGAUCUCAGGAGGACACUUGGAGGAGGCAGCAUUGCAGCAGGUGCUUGAAUGGCUCAGCAUGACUGGCCAGAAGAGGUGGGGAAUGUCAUGGGAACCCCAUUACUGGCUUGAGCAAGAAAGCCCAAGAGACCCACCAUUCAUGCCGACCCAGGCUGGUCUGGGUGAAGCACGUUGGGGCUGCCAAACCCACCGCAAGGUAUUAAGAUGCUUCCCUUCCAGUUGGUGAAGAGCUGCUAUCUCAAGUCCCUAGUGCCUUCUUCCCUCUCCUGGCCCCUCCCCUUAAGAGCCACCCUCCAUCCCUCAUCACCCUGCAACUAAAGCAAGGGUGCUUUACCUUUCUGUGUGUCACAGACCCCUUUGUUAUCGUCUGCUGAAGCCUACAGACAAUAAGGGUUGUUUUUUUUUUUUUAUGAGUACAAAAUAUAUGGCAAUCCUAAACACAACACACUAUAUAAUAGAAAUCUAUAUAUCUAUUCUGCAAUACCUGUAAUAUAACAUGAAAACAUCUGUGA